rnacentral:rRNA from 1 species
GACGAACGCUGGCGGCGUGCUUAACACAUGCAAGUCGAGCGGGGUCCAUCUUGUCGCAAGACAAGGGAAGACCUAGCGGCGAACGGGUGAGUAACACGUGAGCAACCUGCCCCGAAGACUGGGAGUAACACCGGGAAACCGGGUGCUAAUACCGGAUACCCUCAAUGAGUCGCAUGGCUCGAUGAGGAAAUGGNUUCCGCUUCGGGAGGGGCUCGCGGCCUAUCAGCUUGNGG